UCGGAUAUGGUGUAAUGGUUAACAUUGCCGCCUCUCAUGGCACUCUGCACUGUUGAACGCGGCAGCUCGGGGUUCGAUUCCCCGUAUCCGAA